rnacentral:lncRNA from 1 species
GAGCAUUGUUAUAUGUCUGAAAAAGAAUCCACAGAACCAUAAUAUUACCGCAGGUACAUGACAAACAGCAUCUGUCAUGUAUAGCCAAUUCCUGCACCAUCCAUUCAGUGAGACCCUUUGGUGAGAGUACAUCGAGUAAUUCAAAAGUCACCUGUUUUUUUAAAAAGACCUGGCGUGUUCAUUCUCACUUUUCUUGAUAUGGAGCUUCCUCCCCAGGUUGUACUGGUGUGCAUGCUUGGGGUCACGGUCCGCAUCUGCUCCAGUGGAGAGGACAGAAGGUCUAAGGAGGAAAUAAGACUAAAUGAACAUGUGACAAAGGAACCCCAAAGGAAAAGUUGUUUUGAUGGUGUAUCAGCAGCAGCAGUAAAGAGGAGGUUACAUGACAUCUAUCUCUAACUCCCCACCGGGCACCAUGAGGUCUUUCAACAAAGAAACGGUUUCUUCCAGUACAGACACGUGAAGAAGACCAUGCUGUAAUUUCUGACUGUUCGUGCAAUUACAGUUUUUCAGUACAUUCCACGUGGCUCUGGAAUCAAAUUUCUAUCCCAAGUGUCUUUCAGGUACAGCUCUCUACCUGUGAACACAGAAGUGUUCUACGUGAAUAUGCAAAUUGGAUGGAGACGCUGGAUUUGUUUAAGAUGAAUAUGGAGAAAGUUUAAAAUAUACCACUGAGCCUGGGGUACCUGCUCUGACCCUUACCACCUCUGCUAUUAAGGAGCGCAGAUUUCCUCCCACCACUUUUCUAAUGCCACCUGCCUUCUAACACCUGCCAUAACCAGGGGAAAACUCUUCAUUUUAAAUUUUCACAUUUUACGAAAGAAUUGCUGAAGAGGAACACUUCUGAGUUUCAACAUGAAAGGUCUUAGUGAACUCAAGACAGAUAAAGACCUUCCUGAAUUUCUUGAAUGCUCCAGACGACUGCUGCCAAGCAGGCUCAGGAGUGUUGCUAAAGCACUAUAUGUUAGCCUUGAGUCUCUUGCUCAUGGAUCAUCCCCAGGCGAGACAGAGGACCAAAGGAGAGACAGAGGAUUCGGUGCCAGCUGGAUUGCAUGGAAAGGCCCAGGCUGAGGCUUGCUAUACGCUUUUGGCAGAGCCAAAGUAUCCUUGAUUCUCUAUUAAUAAAAGUACUGAAUAGGA